rnacentral:lncRNA from 1 species
AUGAGCAGUCGGGCAGAGGAUUGGUUGCCAGACGCUCUUGGAGAAAGUCACAGCUCCUCUCAGAGCCGUGCAGUGAAGCCUUUUGUCAGCAGCUGGCAGCAUUCCCAGGUAGUGCACGCCUCGCACUUCCCAUUUUCGGUAGUCACUCCGGACGUCUUUAGUUGUUCUGCACCUGCCUGCGUUUUCACUCGCACUCGCAGCACAGUGGGCACCAGGAAACGGCCGAGCCGCGGCUUCGGCUCCGGCUCCGGCGCAGACCGGUGUUUUAUUGUCAACACCACGCACCAAACACUGGGCUGUUUACCACAAAACAGGCUCGUGGAACGGAGCGGGUCCCGGGGUUCAGGAGUCAGAGCGAGGCCAGGGGGAAGGGGCAGCGGGGGAGGACAAGGGGAGGACAAGGGGAACAUGCUUCACGGGGAUUAUCAGCGGGAAAAUGAAGUCACCGGCGUUGGUUCUCGAAAGGGGCUCAGAGCCCUGCGGGUUUGUGGCGCGGCCGGGCCGCAGUCCACUGGUAACACUCAUCAGUGCCUUUCCUCAGGCGAUAUCCAGGACAGCCUUCUGUGUGACGUCACACUCCUCAUUUUUUAUAAGCAAUUAUGUCCUUGCAUGCUCUGGAACUCGCCUCUCCCACUGAACCCCUCUCUCCUGCAGCUGAAUCCAACAAAGGCAGUAGAAACGCGAAUGGCUCCGCGAGCCGCCUUUCCAAAUCUGUCCUCUUCCUGCUCGCGGGCGAAGCGCAUAAACGUUUCAGCUGCGGAGGUUUGGACCGGCCUCGGCUGGCACCGAUACAAAAGAGCGCUGCCUGCUUAUAAAACGCACAGGGGACGAGUCCGCGAGGGGCAUUCGGUGGUGUGCAGUGCAGGUCGGUGGGGGGAAGGACUUUUGCCCCUGCAUGGGGCAGUGCCAGCUCACGCCGGCAUCUGGUGGGGACUCACGGCCUCUGCAGGGACCCCGCGGCACAGGAAAUGCAAGCUGCUUCCUGGUUACCGGCUCCUAUCUGUGUCAGGCUUCAUGCAGGGCCCUGGUGGCUUUGAGACUGUGUGGUGUCGUGGUAAAAACUGCGCCCGUGUCAUUCUGACCCCACAACACACAAACACAAGUCCUGUUGCGUCACGGUUUCGUGUAAACACUCCGCGCUCCUCCCAACUGGGUCCAUCGUUGGUUUCCCGACGUCCAGGAACACGCGGAGCGCUCAGCGGAGCUUCUGGCUCAGUGGGAAGCGUGUCAGAGGUCACGCAGCACCGUAGGCUGCACCACAUUCAUUCGAGUUGUCCCCGGAAUCUGCAGCAAACAGCACAUCGCGGUCAUGUGCUGUUUGACUUCCACUCUAGCGCCACAAAAGACUCUGACCCAAAGGCCACCUGUGUACGUGCACAGCAUUCUACUGGGACGUCCAGUUGGGGGCGAGCUCCUACACACAUGUACCAGAGGCCUCAGGCGCUCCCUGUGCGUUAA